rnacentral:misc_RNA from 1 species
AAGUCGUAACAAGGUUUCCGUAGGUGAACCUGCGGAAGGAUCAUUAUCGAGAGAGGGGCUUCGCGUCCCCGGGGGGUUUCGGCCCCCCAACUCUUCACCCCAUUGUCAAUUACCCCUUGUGCUUUGGCGGAUUCCGGGGUAUGUCUUGCGAAGUUUGUCAUAAACCCGUGCGAGAUGUGCCCCGGCGCCCGCCGGGGCCCAUUAAAAUCGUUUACAGUGAUGUCCGAGUAAAAAACCAAUAAUAAAAA